rnacentral:tRNA from 1 species
GUUCUCUUAGUUCAGUUCGGUAGAACGCGGGUCUCCAAAACCCGAUGUUGUAGGUUCAAAUCCUACAUAGCAUG